UGGGGAAUUUUCCGCAAUGGGCGAAAGCCUGACGGAGCGACGCUGCGUGAAGGAUGACGGCCUGCGGGUUGUAAACUUCUUUUCUCGAAGAAGAAUCAAUGACGGUAUUCGAGGAAUAAGCAUCGGCUAACUCU
rnacentral:rRNA from 1 species